rnacentral:misc_RNA from 1 species
AACACCUCAAAUCUCUUUUUUAUUAAAGAGAAUUGGACUUGAGCAAUCCCAACUCUUUGCAAAAAGGGGCGGGUUGCUUGAAAUGCAGGUGCAGCUGGACAUUCUUCUGAGCUAAAAGCAUAUUUAUUUAGUCCCGUCAAACGGAUUAUUACUUUUGCUCUAGCUAAUAUAAAGGUCGAAUGUGCUAUAUGCUGACUGAUGCAGGAUUACCAAGUUUUACUAGCUAAAACUUGUAA